ensembl:snRNA Rnu6-233 RNA, U6 small nuclear 233
GCAUUUAUUUUUACAGUGCAUAUAAUAAAACUGGAACAAUGCAGAAAAGAAUAGCGUGACCUCUGUGCAAGGAUGCCAUGCAAAUUUGUGAAGCAUUAAAUAUUCAA